rnacentral:tRNA from 1 species
GCGCUUGUAGCUCAGCUGGAUAGAGUACCUGGCUACGAACCAGGUGGUCGCAGGUUCGACUCCUGCCAAGCGCACCA